AUGAUUCAAUCUGCCUUUGCUCACACAGCAAAUGUUUUCAGCUUGCUUUCUUUUAGCACUCAACACAAAGCCAUCCUUUGUGUCUUUCCCCCACCCACCUUUUAUUUUUGCUGUAGAAGGAAGAACCCCUAUGCUCAGGAACAAAGUCCAGAGGCGCCUAAGAGAGAGAAGAAACUUGAAGUUUUCCACAGUCUGAAUUGUGCUUCCCACGGAAUUUCAAGAAUGCACACAUCAGAAAACCCCAGUCUCUCACACCAGCGAAGAGGAGCAAAAAUAAUCUUUCCUUCUACCUUUCUGAGUUCUCGAGCUCCUGGAUGGAAGCCUGAAGUGUGUGAAUCCGGUGGGUGGCAGCUUGGUCACAUACUUAUUAUGCUCUGGCUGCAGAAACAAAAUGAAUUUAACAGAACUGAAUGACAAUGAUGAUUGUAGAGCAAAGACAAAAAAGUGAGCUGUAAAGAUCACCUUACAGCAUUAACAGAGGAGAAGCAACAAGCAGAGGAGUCUGACCCCCUGCUCCCCCAAACCGAAUCCAUGACAAAACAAGCUGAGUGAAAGUUUCAUAGACUCCAAAGGAAAAAGACAAACACAUAAAAGGUAACGGAGAUCUAAAGAAAGUCAGCAACCAGUGUCUGAAGUAGAAAAAAAAAAAUUAAGUGAAACUAGAAAUAAAAUCUCAAUAAAAAUAUUUGUGAAUGUGCA
rnacentral:lncRNA from 1 species